GCGCGGGUGGCGAAACCGGUAGACGCAUGGGACUUAAAAUCCCAGGCCGCAAGGCGUGCGGGUUCGAGUCCCGCCCCGCGCA
rnacentral:tRNA from 1 species